AACGAACGCUGGCGGCAGGCUUAACACAUGCAAGUCGAGCGCCCCGCAAGGGGAGCGGCAGACGGGUGAGUAACACGUGGGAAUCUACCCAUCUCUACGGAACAACUCCGGGAAACUGGAGCUAAUACCGUAUACGCCCUUUUUGGGGAAAGAUUUAUCGGAGAUGGAUGAGCCCGCGUCGGAUUAGCUAGUUGGUGGGGUAAUGGCCUACCAAGGCGACGAUCCGUAGCUGGUCUGAGAGGAUGAUCAGCCACACUGGGACUGAGACACGGCCCAGACUCCUACGGGAGGCAGCAGUGGGGAAUAUUGGACAAUGGGCGCAAGCCUGAUCCAGCCAUGCCGCGUGAGUGAUGAAGGCCCUAGGGUUGUAAAGCUCUUUCACCGGUGAAGAUAAUGACGGUAACCGGAGAAGAAGCCCCGGCUAACUUCGUGCCAGCCGCCGCCGUAA
rnacentral:rRNA from 1 species